CGCAAUUUGGCUCCAGAGUACCUUGUUGGUUCACCCAAAGGAAUCAACUGCUCUGUGAAGAGACAGUGGGGUCUGAAGCAAUGCUCUGCUGGAGGAACUUGGAGGGGUCAAGCAGCAUCUAUGGUGGAAAGGUGAACUAGAGAGUGACAUCCCCCUGCUGUUGACUUUGCAGAUUGACCUUUGACCUGAGGAAUCAGGUUCAACUCAGGCAAAAGCAGUUUCGAGGUGGAGUGAUUAUGAUGUAGUCCCAUUAAAUCCCAAUGUUUUUCUGAUAGACUUCAGCUACUCUGAGAUAAACCAGUUCUCUCCAGUUAUACUGCAAACCAAGGAACAGAAAUAAUGAUCUUUCUGGCUACCAGACUGCGUUUAAAAAACAAUGCCAUCAAACAGAUAAUGCAAGUGUUUCAGCUGAAUUGUUUUUAAAUAGUGGAUGGAGCAAAACAUUAAAAGAGUAUUUUAAUAUGACAAUUUAUCUGUAAUAUCUGUAUCAAUAAUGGGACUAGUGACUAAUGAACAUAUCGAUACAGCUAUAAAGAAUGGAAGACAGUGACUAUAUUUCAUCAGGAGUUUGAAGAGAUUUGGUUUGUCAAUUAACAUAGUCUAAAACUUCUAUAGAUGUACUGUGGACAGCAUUCCGACAGGUUGUCUGGUAUGGGGGGAGGGGUCUACUCCACAGGACUGAAAGAAUCAACAGAGAGUCAUAAAAUUAGUCAUCUCCACCUUGGGCAUUUGCCUCCAUAGUACCCAAGACAUCUUCAAGGAGAAAACACGAGGAAAUCUGGAGAUGCUGGAAAUUCAAACAACACACACAAAAUGCUGGUGGAACACAGCAGGCCAGGCAGCAUCUAUAAGGAGCAGCACUGUCGACAUUUCGGGCCGAGACCCUUCGUCAGGACUGACUGAAAGGAAAGAUAGUGAGAGAUCUUCAAGGAGAGGUGUCUCAGAAAGGGACGUCCAUUAUUAAGGACCCCCAUCACCCAAGACAUGCCCUCUUCUCAUUGUUACCACCAGGAAGGAGGUACCGAAGCCUGAAGGCACACACUCAGCGAUUCAGGAACAGCUUCUUCCCCUCUGCCAUACAAUUCCUAAAUGGGCAUUGAACCCUUGAACACUACCUCACUUUUUAAAAAAUAUUAUUUCUAUUUUUGCACUAUUUUUAAUCUAUCCAAUAUGUAUACUUACUGUAAUUGAUUUACUUCUUUUUCCUUUCUAUGUUAUCAUGUAAUGCAUUGAAUUGUUGCUGCUACAUUAACAAAUUUCAUGACACAUGCCAGUGAUAAUAAACCUGAUUCUGAUUUUAGGUGAAAAGCAAUGAAGUUGCCUGAAAAUUGGAUGUUGAAAUAGGAAUUAAGUAUUAAUUUUUAGUUCAGAUUUAUAGUGGUUGAUAAAUUAUAACCAGUAUUUUCCAAUGUCUUCAAUGUAAUAAAAAGAAUGAAUAAUGAAGGAAGUGUAUUUAGAUAACCCCUUUCAUGGUCAUAACAUGAUAAGACCAGAAGACAUGGAAGCAGAAUUUGCCCACACAACUCAUUGAGUCUGCUCCAUCAUUGAAUCAACUCUGAUUUGUAUUUCUCAACCCCAUUCUCCUGCCUUCUCCCUGAA